rnacentral:rRNA from 1 species
GACGAACGCUGGCGGCGUGCUUAACACAUGCAAGUCGAGCGGUAAGGCCCUUUCGGGGUACGACGAGCGGCGAACGGGUGAGUAACACGUGGGUGACCUGCCCUCAGCUCUGGGAUAAGCCUGGGAAACCGGGUCUAAUACUGGAUAUGACUCCAUGACGCAUGUUGUGGGGUGGAAAGCCUUGUGCGGCUGAGGAUGGGCCCGCGGCCUAUCAGCUUGUUGGUGGGGUGANGGCCUACCAAGGCGACGACGGGUAGCCGGCCUGAGAGGGCGACCGGCCACACUGGGACUGAGACACGGCCCAGACUCCUACGGGAGGCAGCAGUGGGGAAUCUUGCGCAA